ensembl:lncRNA CASC15 cancer susceptibility 15
AAGUCAGAAGAUGCUAGCGGAAGAAACAGGACCCAGAACUCCAUUGGAAAAUGGGGUAUACAGACUUCGAGGAUGCCAGACAAAAAGAUCAUUUGAAAUAUUGUUGUCACUAAGCCUUCUUUGAUCAAGACACCAUGAGCUCAUGGCAGGAUUGAGCUUUCAGCUGCUCUGUAGAUUCUCAUCAGAGGUGCAGACUCUUCUUUGUGGAUCAUACCUACAUUUUAUUUUUCCUGAAAAUAUAGUAUGUAUUCAGGGCACACAGGCAUCUUCUAUUCACUUCAUCAUCAACACUUGUCAAACAAAAACUGCUAUUCAUGCUACAGACUCAUGCAGCUCCCUGCAUUUUGAAAGAAUUGCCUCCCUCUUCUGAGCCUGGCUCAAGGUCCUCUGAAAGAAUCUGGAGGAAAUGAUGAUGCUCAGGAGACAAUUCAUGAUCACUCGGAAUUUCUGACAACCAUGUGACCUUGGAAGCCAAGUGCUAAAGAUAAUGGAGCUAUGACAAUAAAGAGCUUGAGUCUUGAAUCAUUACAUGGCAGACCAUCCACUCAGCACUCUCAUCGAACAGUUAUGUAAACGUUUCUGGAGAAAAUAACAGAAGACAUGGCAGGAGAAAUGAUUGAGAGCUUUUCCAGUUUGGCAUGGAAACAAAGCAAAGCAAUUUCAGUGUGGUAACAAGACUAAGGAGGAGACAGAUGCUGUGCGGGCAACAGUACCAGAGCUAAGGGAUGAGAAACUUCUCCAUAAGAUGUCCCUUUAUUGCUCCAGCAGCUAUUAUGGGCUGCGUCUCCCCAAGCAUGGCAGCUCACCACUGUGGAACCCUAAAUAGAAUGACACUCAGUGUUGAAUGGCAAGGCCUCUGGUCAUAAAUAAGAUAAGCCGAAAGACAUUUGAUGGUUAUCACAGAAAUGGACUUUCCUUACUUGGAAUUUUCCUGCCUAAACAUCCACAGGGAAAAGCUACAUGUUGGGACUUCAUAAUUCAUUUCAAGCAUUUUGUUUGCAAAUCUCAAAGCUUGAUUUUUUUUCUAAGUUUGCAGGUACUUCAAUAUUUGUAUUUCCAUUUCAGAUUUUUAAAAUUCAUUGCUUUAAAGAACUACAUCUGAAGAACAAUGUUUAGCUCUUUAUUUAUUAUUGUAUUUUAUUUAUCUAAAGACCAAUAUGUUGCUUCCUACUGAUAACAUCAGAUGAAUAUUAUCGUGAAGUUAAAUUAGCUUCUUCAACAGUGAGCUCUGUGGAAUAGAUGCACCUUUCCUUCUAGUGUGACCAUUUGAGAUGGAACAGACCAGAGGAUUUUCCAUCCCAUUGCUAGAAUAUGUUUCUGUGACAAAGUUCUAGCAAGUUUUAGUCCGUAAUCCAUUUCAAGAGAAAUUCCCAUUUCUGUUUUUUUUUCAAUUAUGUCUUUUAACUUAUAUUUUCUGGAUCUUAUUCCAUUUGAGUGAAAUGUGAAUAGAUGAAGAGAUGUGGUAUCAGAGCUCAUUAAACAAAACUUUUCUGGUAACAUGUUUCAUCCUAUUUAGUUAUUUGAAUUCAGAUAAGCUUAAAGGAAAAGAACAAAACAAAGCUAUAAAGAAAAUUGGAAGUUAUUCAUUGUCAUUCAUCAUAAACAAGCUCAGAGGCUGGGAUAUUUGGCACGAUGACAAUGAAACUGCAGGAAAUUGAGCACACUCCAAUGUUGGUGAGGACGGUCCAUCCAUUCUGCAUAUGUCUGCGUCUUUGGGACUUAGAGUCUGGCAAGUAGAAGAGGGAUUUCAUCUUGUUGGAAAAUAUAAGUUGGAAAAUCAACCCACAUGAAAUUGCAGAAGCCAAGGGGUUUCACUGAUGGAAAAAUGGAGAAGGAAGAUCUGAUGAAACAGCAAGUCCUUAAGAGUGGGAGCCAGAAGUUUAAGUUGUAACAGGUUUUGGAUAAGAUUCAGAACUUAGAGGAUAACGAACUGCAGAAAAAUUCUUUGGAAGAUAAUGACUAGAGAAAAAUUCUGGGUCAAAGGCAGCUAUUGUGGUGCAUAGUUAUUCAGAUUUCAAAUUUGAAAAGAAAUCAUUGUUUCAUAGGCCGAAAGGUGAGCCACUGGUAUCUGUCAUCAGCAAACAGGAAACAUGAAGAAGAAGUACAUUUAUUCUAUAGGUUGCAACACACAGUACAAAUAUACCAUUAGAAUACCUAAAAUGCAAGAUGAAUCAGUCCCGUGAAUUGAAACUUUGAUUUUGUUCUUGAGCUAGUAAAGUUUACAGAGUUCUAUGAGGAAGGACAUCUGUAAAAUAUCUUACAAUACGUUGUCUUCUAUUUUGAGAGAAAGGGAAAGUAUCUUUGCACUGUGAAUAUACCCUUUGUAUUAUUAACUGUGAGGACAUGACAAGGCUAAACAAUUGCUUCUUUCUUGUCAAAGUUUCGUU